AGUAAGAUAUGGAAGUUAUCGUGUCCGGCAAAAGUCAAAAAAUUUACAUGGCGUACAUUACAUGGAACGCUUCCAUGUCGGGUUACGCUCGCAAAUAGACAUAUGAAGGUCACGCCCAUUUGCCCUACUUGCUCUGAGGGUUCUGAAGAUACAAAGCAUAUGCUUUUCCUUUGCAGUAGAGCAAAUGAGGUUUGGACAAGGCUGGGGAUGGAUGAUAUCAUUGAUAAAACUUGUAAGGUUGACCUUGCUGGAGAGGCGGUGCUGGAAUACCUACUACUUCUGCCAGAAAAAGAUUUGAGGAUAAUGGAUUAUCACAAUGUGCGUGAAAUGAUUGCUGUCUCAGCAUGGUAUCUAUGGUGGGAAAGAUGA
rnacentral:rRNA from 1 species